UUGGGUUUAGUUUGAAGUUGUCAUGGAAAAACUAGUCUGUUCCCACCUAUUAUGUGCCUAUGAAAUGCUUGUUCCCAGUGAAUCAUGUCUUAACUUGAUAGUCAAGGCUUAUUUAUAUAACCUGGACAUAGUCUUAGGAUUUAAUCAGCCUGUUUUAGUUUGCUAUUACUUGGUGUGUAUUUAUGAGAGGCUUGUUCCCAGUAUUUACAACUAACUUUGGCCACAAAGAGUCUUUAUACCUAGACCACAGCUUCAUGGGUUUGUCAAAGGAAGUUAUGACAGGGUUGGAUGUUUGUGAAUCUGCCUAGGACCUCUGGUGUUGUUACUGGAUGAUUAGGGUAAGGACAUUAGGAUGGGGGAAAGGGUUUUAGGAGAGGAAAAGGUGAGCCUGGACAUGAACUGGAGAUAGUGACCAGUGAGGCCUAAGAUCCUUUUUUGCUGAAAGGAGACUCAGGAAAAGGAGAUGGGGAGGUGAUGACCCCACCCUAUCCUUUUUCCCUUUCAAGGGCCUGAAACUCUUACUUCCAUUUUCUUGGACCUUCCCCUCAUGAUCCUAGGACUCACAAAGGCCUCAGGUAGGGGAGUACAGCCUAAUCAUGUCUAACAGGGAAGGAAAGAUACACCUAGAACCAAAUAAGCUACUGCAAAUACUUGCCAAGUCUGAGUGUUAUGUGUUCCCUAUCUUGCUCCUUUUUUAAAAGCCUUUUUGUCUGAAAGGUUUGUAGGUUCCUGAGCCUUGUUUGUUUGAAAUUGGUUUUGUGUAAAAGGAGAAUGGGGGCUGAUGGUUGUGCCAUGUGAGCCUAAGUUCAUCUGUGAGAAACUGAGAGUUAAGUGUGCUAUGUGUUUGUCAUUUGCUUUGCUGUUGGCUAUAUGCCCUUAUCUAUUUUUAAAUGCACUUCAUCCAUAACUGAUGUUUAAAACUUGCCACCUGGUGUUUGGUUUAGGCUUGUCCCUUGUAUGAUGUUUGGUCUCUUUAUUUUGCCAAAACUGUGAUCAUGCUGCCAAUUCAUCUCUUGCUUUCUCUUCUCCCUCUUCUGUUCUUUGGGAAAAACUUUGGAUUAGUCUAAAAUAUGUUGAAGGAACACCUUUUUUUUUUAGGAAUCAAAGUUGUUGACAGAUUUUUUAAGUUGAUUUGUCCAUUGAGAUUUCCCUCCCCUUUGCAAGGUUCUUUCAAAGUUCACUUGUCUAUUAGUUCAGGUCUCUGCUCUAUGUAGCAGUCUGUGGUGUGUUGAUAAAGAAGAGUAGUUUUAAGUGAUGCCAGUUCUGGAUAUAUACUCUAAAAAGCUUUAAACUUUCCCAUGAGCCUUGGCUAUCUAUGAGGUCCUCCUAGGUUUUCUUUUCUUCCUUUCCUCUGAAAAUAGUGUUGUUUUUUAUUCUGUACUUAUUUGUGAGCAAUCUUGAAUUUGAUUGGGAUAAGGUGAAUGCUCUCAAUUGAACUAGUGUGAUCAGCUAUUGUCUCCUCUGGGCAGUUUUUUUUUUUUUUUUUUUGAACCUUAAGCAAAUAAGUAGGAUAGGCUGUUUUGGGAAUCUAGGACCUAUUUUCCUCCAUUUAUGAGAAGUCCCGGAUGGAGUGAUAGACUGAAAAGAGACCAGUUGGUGUUUGACUAUGAAAUCCCUUGAACCUGUUUUGGCAUAUCUGAAGUGUUUCAGUUUAUUCCUUUUUUUUUUUUUUUUUUUAAUUAUUAUCUUAACCAGCCCAUGGUCUUGAGUGAUCAUCAUUUGUGUUUCCUUUUAUGGCAGUUGUAUACAUUACCUUUAGUCAUGAAACUGAAUUUUCCCUUUAUUAUUCUCUUGUAUUUGCUGGUUGUCUAGCCUCACUUAAGGUGUUGCUGCUAUUUUGGUAUCAAUAUCUCCUGUACAGUAUGCCACUUGAUUGUUUAUUCGUGUAUGAGUUUGCUUGAAAUAUGUUGCUGCUCCCAAGUUCCAUACUCCCUUUUCCUCUUGUUUGGAGGCACUGGUUGGAGCUAAGCUAUGGUAGUUUGGGGUCGUCCAGGCCUUCUUGGUGUUAGCCAUGCCUGGGGUUCUUAGAAGCCCCUUGGAACUUGUGCGACAUCAAGGAUAAAAGGCCAGGAUUCAGUCCCCAUACCAUUGCAAAAUCCUCAACCAAGGCAAACCCAUUCAAGGAGAAGAGGGGCAAGUAUAGAACAAUGUGGAUACCUUUUUUUUUUGUGUCUUCAUAUAUACUAUGCACAGUCUUUAUUAUUUUAGUGAUAAGUUCAGCGUUUAUAAACUAACUGGGUCCCUUUUUCUUUUCCCUCCUCCACUUGCAUGGCCAUUCGGCUCAAGACCAGCCACCUAUUGGGCCAAAGACCCAAUAGGACCUCCAUUCAAUUAAGAUCGAGUCCGAGAAGAAAAAUAAUAGCGAGGCACGCAGAAGGCCCAACCAUGGGUGAAAAUGACCACUAGGGGCUUGGUACGGCCUAGUUUAAAUUUAUUUCCGCAUAUGUAUGAUCUUAUUUGUAUGUAAUUAUGUCUAUUCAACUCAUAUUAUAGUGGAAAUCCCUUAUGAUU